ACCUACGGGGGGCAGCAGUCUAGAGGCUUCGGCAAUGGGGGCAACCCUGACCGAGCGACGCCGCGUGUGGGAUUGAAGGCCUUCGGGUCGUAAACCACUGUCAUUGGGGACGAAUGCCCGGAUGGUGAAUCCGGGAGGGACGGUACCCAAGGAGGAAGCCCCGGCUAACUCCGUGCCAGCAGCCGCGGUAAUACGGAGGGGGCAAGCGUUGUUCGGAUUUACUGGGCGUAAAGGGUGUGUAGGCGGUCGCGUAAGUCUGGUGUGAAAUCUUCGCCGCUCAACGGGAAGAGUGCACUGGAUACUGCGCGACUCGAGUCUGGAAGAGGCAAGCGGAAUUCCUGGUGUAGCGGUGGAAUGUGUAGAUAUCAGGAAGAACAUCGGUGGCGAAGGCGGCUUGCUGGGCCACGACUGACGCUGAGACACGAAAGCGUGGGGAGCAAACGGGAUUAGAUACCCCGGUAGC
rnacentral:rRNA from 1 species